CAUAUGUUUGCUUUUGAAGCAGCAGCAUGUCUGAGUUGACACUUAUCAUGAAGUCAAUGUUAUGUACUUCCCUUUCGUGAAUGAUCUGGAGCAAAGGGGCCAAUGAGAACUUUGGGGCCAGCAAAGAAGAUCUGAGAUGGCAGCUGAACACUAACCACUGUGUCCAUGUUCUAUUUUGGCAGCAGGAGACAGAGAAGGCAGGAAAGAAGAGAAGCAACAACGACAAAAAAGAAACAUGAUGUUAGCUGCCCACUGAUCUUGUCUUGCCGGCGGGUGUGUACAGGAAGUGAG